GCGCGGUUAGUUCAGUGGUUAGAAUUUUCGCUUCCCAUCUUCUGUUCGUCUUGAGAUAGCGAGAGACCCGAGUUCGAAUCUCGGAUCGCGCA